rnacentral:rRNA from 1 species
AUUGAACGCUGGCGGCAUGCCUUACACAUGCAAGUCGAACGGUAACGCGGGGCAACCUGGCGACGAGUGGCGAACGGGUGAGUAAUAUAUCGGAACGUGCCCAGUAGUGGGGGGAUAGCCCGGCGAAAGCCGGAUUAAUACCGCAUGAGACCUGAGGGUGAAAGCGGGGGAUCGCAAGACCUCGCGCUAUUGGAGCGGCCGAUAUCAGAUUAGGUAGUUGGUGGGGUAAAGGCCUACCAAGCCGACGAUCUGUAGCUGGUCUGAGAGGACGACCAGCCACACUGGGACUGAGACACGGCCCAGACUCCUACGGGAGGCAGCAGUGGGGAAUUUUGGACAAUGGGCGCAAGCCUGAUCCAGCCAUGCCGCGUGCGGGAAGAAGGCCUUCGGGUUGUAACCGCUUUUGUCAGGGAAGAAAUCUUCUGGGUUAAUACCUCGGGAGGAGUGACGGUACCUGAAGAAUAAGCACCGGCUAACUACGUGCCAGCAGCCGCGGUAAAGUACUCUA